AAGAUUUCUUUCAAACUGGCUGUUUUUUUACGACUGCGCAAAAUAAAUAUGGAAAUGCUAGAAGUCCUCUGCCCCAGUUAUAAUAAUAUUAUACUAUUUCGUCAUAAUAAUAUUAUGUUGCCUAACAGUCAAUAGUAAAAUUCGUAUCACGUAGAAACCGAAUUUACUCUGUAAAUCAUUCGUUUAACUAAAUGCUCUUUAUUUUGUAUUUUUGUGAAAAUUGUCCA